rnacentral:lncRNA from 1 species
GAGUGUAGUGACACGAUCUUGGCUCACCACAACCCGUUCUGAAAGACAUCGGAAAACCUCCUCUGAUGGUGCAAUGGGGAUGCGGGGCGCACGAGCACUGACCGUCCAUGAGAUCAGGAGUUCAAGACCAGCCUGGCCAACAUGGUGAAACCUCAUCUCUACUAAAAAUACAAAAAAUUAGCUGGGCACGGGGUCAGACACCUGCAAUCCCAGCUACUCAGGAGGCUGAGGCACAAGAAUUGCUUGAACCUGG